UACAGAGGUCUCAAGCGUUGUUCGGAUUCAUUGGGCGUAAAGGGUGUGUAGGUGGCGCCGUUAGUCGGGUGUGAAAUUUCGGAGCUUAACUCCGGAACUGCAUUCGAUACUGCGGUGCUUGAGGACUGGAGAGGAGACUGGAAUUCAUGGUGUAGCAGUGAAAUGCGUAGAGAUCAUGAGGAAGACCAGUGGCGAAGGCGGGUCUCUGGACAGUUCCUGACACUGAGACACGAAGGCCAGGGGAGCAAACGGG
rnacentral:rRNA from 1 species